AACAUAAUUUUCACUUCCCAGCUUUGUGUUGCUUCAUCAUGAAACUUGGAUUCUUCUCUUUUAAGACUUAUCCACGUGAGGAAAAAAGUAUGACCAUCUGUUGCCAGGGUUAUGAUCUACAGAGAUGCAAAAGUUUCUGGAAAGUGGUAUCUCUCAAGUGCUUUUUUCUACCACAACAGUAGAAAGGAACUGAUUGACUAUAACAGAUUUUGGAAGAACUUUAUAGCACCUACUAGAUAAUGUUGUUUUAGAUUACUAAUAAUCUAAGAAUUUUAUAAAACCAAGAAGGAAAGAUGGUGACUUCGGAGCAGCAGCUGUUGUGAGCUCCAAAAAUCAGGAGCUUGAGACCUGGGAUUCUCUGGAUAUGGAUCAAAGAAAACAGGAAAAUUCCAUUCCACCUUCUAUGAAGCCAACAUCACCCUGAUACCAAAAGCAUAUAGGGACAAAACAAAAAAGGAAAACUACAGACCAAUACCUCUGAUGAAUAUAGAUGCCAAAAUACUAAACAAGAUCCUGGCCACUCUGACACAGCAGUAUAUCAGAAAGAUUGCUCAUAACAAUCAAGUGAGAUUUGUCCCAGGAAUGCAAGGAUGGUUCAAAAUAGUUAGGUCAAUCAAUGUCAUUCACCACAUCAAUAAAAGAAAAAACAAAAACCACAUGAUUAUGUCAAUAGAUGCAGAGAAAGACCUCAACAAAAUCCAACACCCAUUAAUGCUCAAAAUACUAUAAAAAAUGGGUGUAGAUGGGAAAUUCCUCAAGAUAGUGGAGUCCAUAUAUAGAAAACCUACAGCCCACAUCAUACUCAGAGGACUGAAAGUAUUACUCAUCAUAUUGGGGACUGGACAAGGCUGUCCAUUAUCACUAUUACUCUUCAACAUAUUGUUGGAAGUUCUUGCCAUAGCAAUCAGGCAAGAGAAAGGAAUCAAAGGAAUACAGAUUGGAAGUUAAGAAGUCAAGCUCUCACUAUUUUCAGAUGAUAUGAUAGUAUACAUAGAAAAACCUAAAGAAUCCAGCAGAAAACUACUGGAAGUUAUUAGGCAAUAUAGCAAGGUGUCAGGCUACAAAAUCAAUGUACAAAAAAUUACUGGCAUUUCUCUAUGCAAACACUAAAUCUGAAGAAGACAUCCAGAAAUCACUCCCAUUAACUGUUGCAGCGACAUCAAUAAAAUACCUAGGAAUAAAGCUGACCAAAGAAGUGAAAGGCUUGUAUACUUAAAACUAUGAAUCAUUAUUCAAGGAAAUAGAAAAUGAUUCCAAGAAAUAAAAAGACAUCCCAUGCUCAUAGAUUGGAAGGAUAAAUGUCAUCAAAAUGAAUAUUCUCCCCAGAGCCAAAUUUAACAUGAUACUCAUCAUAGAUACACCAAGAUUCUUUAUCAGAAUAGAACAAAAAGUAUAAUCAUUUAUCCGGAACCAGCAAAUACCACAAAUUGCCAAAACAAUUGUGAGGAAAAAGAACAGAAAUGGAGGCAUCACACACUCAGAUCUCAAACUAUAUUAUAAGGCCAUCAUUAUCAAAACAGGCUGGUACUGGAACAAAAAUAGGCAUACAGACCAGUGGAACAGAAUCAAAACCCCAGAGAUAAAUGCCACAUCCAUGGACAUCUAAUUUUGGCUAAGGGGACCCAAAGUAUUAAACCAAGAAAGGAAGCUCUCUUCACUAAAUGUUCCUGGGAAAACUGGGUUGGAACAUGAAGAAAAAUGAAAGUGAACCACUCACCAGAAACAAAAAUCAACUCCAAAUGGAUCAAGGACCUGGAUGUUAGACCAGAAACUAUUAAUUACUUAGAGGAAAACAUUGGUGGAACACUUUCCCACCUAAACCUCAAGGACAUUUUUGAUGAUAUAAACCUCAUUGCAAGGAAGGCUAAAGCAGAAACAAGCCAAUGGGACUACAUCAAAUUAUAAAGCUUCUGUACAGCCAAAGAAACUAUCACACAAACAAAGAGACCCCUUACAGAAUGGGAGAAGAUAUUCACAUACCAUACAUCAGACAAGAGACUAAUAAAAAAAUAUACAACUGACCCCAUCCAAAAAUGGGCAGAGGAUAUGAACAGAACAUUCACUACAGAAGUGAUCCAAAAGGCUAACAAACACAUGAGAAAUUGCUCUAGGUCACUGUUUGUCAGAGAAAUGCAAAUAAAGACAACAUUGAGAAACCACCUCACUCCUGCGAGAAUGGCAUAUAUCGAAAAGGACAGCAACAACAAAUGCUGGAGAGACUGGGGGACAAAGGAACCCUUGUGCACUGCUGGUGGGAAUGUAAAUUGGUCCAGCCUCUGUGGAGAGCAGUCUGGAGAACUCUAAUAAGGCUAGACAUGGACCUUCCAUAAAACCCAGUAAUUCAUCUCCUUGGGAUAUACCCCAAGGACUCCAUAACACCCACCCAAAAAGAAAUGUGUACACCUAUGUUUAUAGCAGCACAAUUCAUAAUAGCUAAAACUUGGAAGCAACGUAGGUGCCCAACACCAGAUGAGUGACUGAGAAAGUUAUGGUAUAUAUACACAAUGGACUAUUAUGCAGCUCCUAAGAACAAUGAACCCACCUUCUCUGACCUAUCUUGGAUGGGCUU